GAAGCUGGGUGAGUGGAUUCUUGAAAUUGAUGGGUAAUAAUGGUUCAGUCUUCUUUGGAGUAAGACAUACAAUUGAUUUAUCAACUAUGUGGAGAAUCUUCUCACAGUUGAAAUCUGAAGUUUCUUUCACUGAUUAAUCCAAAAAUUCAAUAUUUGGUGAGUUAGACAUACAAAAAUUAAAUAUUUCUGCCAAAACUUGUAACAAAUUAACAUCCUACAACACUAGAGAGAAAAUUUUAUGACUAUCUGGGUAAAAUGAAUGAUAUACUUACUUCAACAUCCCGAGUGUAACACAAUGUUAGCAUCAUUCGCUG
rnacentral:lncRNA from 1 species